UACGUAGGUGGCAAGCGUUGUCCGGAUUUACUGGGCGUAAAGAGCGCGCAGGCGGUCGUCCAAGUCGCGUGUGAAAGCCCCGGCUCAACUGGGGAGGGUCACGCGAUACUGGUCGACUCGAAGGCAGGAGAGGGUAGUGGAAUUCCCGGUGUAGCGGUGAAAUGCGUAGAUAUCGGGAGGAACAUCAGUGGCGAAGGCGGCUACCUGGCCCAAUC
rnacentral:rRNA from 1 species